rnacentral:rRNA from 1 species
AGCUUGCAUAUUAUAAGCCACCUAGUGGAUGGCUAGGCUCUGGUAGCGAAGAAGGCCGUGGCAAGCUGCGAAAAGCCCGGGGUAGGUGCAUGUCGACCUUUGAACCCGGGAUUGCCGAAUUAUGCGCCAUGAAUAGUGGCGCACGCAUACGCGGGGAAUUGAAAUAUCUUAGUACCCGCAGGAGAAGAAAGAAAAUCGAUUCCGUAAGUAACGCGAGUGAAACCGGAAGAGGGCAAACUGAAUCCCCCAAGCAAUUGGUGCGGAGAUGUGGUGCGACUUUUAGGCUUGAUGCAUGAUCCGAAGGUUCUGGAAAGAACCGCCAUAGAGAGUGACAGCCUCGUAGGAUAAGUGCGCCAAGUUGUGUCGUGUAUGAGUAGUUCGGCCUUAAUACGUCGAACGAAUACGGGAUCAUUAAAUCCCAACCCUAAAUAUUGACCAGAGACCGAUAGUGAACAAGUAGUGCGAACGAAAGCUGAAAAGCACCCACACGCGUGGGAGCGAAAAGAUCUGAAACUAGGUGGUUACAAGAAGACAAGGCAUGGAAGGGUUGACGCAUAUGGAAGCGAAGUAUCGAAAGGUACAAGCGACAUGUGCUACCAGUGUUUUGUCCUUCUUCUUGAAGCAAGAGCCAGGGAGUGUAUUGGAGUGGCAAGCAGUUUUACUGCGAAGUGAAAGCGAGUGCGCGCACGCAAGGAGGCGCAGGGCACGAAAGUGCCUAAGUCACUACUAUACGACCCGAAGCCAUUGUGAUCUACGCGCGGCCAGGACGAAGGCGAAUUGAUGUUCGCUGGAGGUCCGCAACCUGUCAUGGCAUGUCCUGUUGGGCGAGCUGCGGGUAGGGGCGAUAGACCAUUCGAACAUGGCAAUAGCGGGUCCCCUCUGAAGUAUCUUUAGGAUAGCUCCGGGCGAGCUUGCAUAUGCGGUAGAGCGACCGAUUAGAGGGCGCGGAGUCGAAAGGCUC